rnacentral:rRNA from 1 species
UACGGAGGGGGCCAGCGUUGUUCGGAAUCAUUGGGCGUAAAGAGCGCGCAGGCGGUCGUUCAAGUCGCGUGUGAAAGCCCCCGGCUCAACUGGGGAGGGUCACGCGAUACUGAUCGACUCGAAGGCAGGAGAGGGUAGUGGAAUUCCCGGUGUAGUGGUGAAAUGCGUAGAUAUCGGGAGGAACACCAGUGGCGAAGGCGACUACCUGGCCUGUUCUUGACGCUGAGGCGCGAAAGCUAGGGGAGCAAACGGG